rnacentral:rRNA from 1 species
GGUUAAGCGACUAAGCGUACACGGUGGAUGCCCUGGCAGUCAGAGGCGAUGAAGGACGUGCUAAUCUGCGAUAAGCGUCGGUAAGGUGAUAUGAACCGUUAUAACCGGCGAUUUCCGAAUGGGGAAACCCAGUGUGAUUCGUCACACUAUCAUUAACUGAAUCCAUAGGUUAAUGAGGCGAACCGGGGGAACUGAAACAUCUAAGUACCCCGAGGAAAAGAAAUCAACCGAGAUUCCCCCAGUAGCGGCGAGCGAACGGGGAGCAGCCCAGAGCCUGAAUCAGUGUGUGUGUUAGUGGAAGCGUCUGGAAAGGCGUGCGAUACAGGGUGACAGCCCCGUACACAAAAAUGCACAUGCUGUGAGCUCGAUGAGUAGGGCGGGACACGUGGUAUCCUGUCUGAAUAUGGGGGGACCAUCCUCCAAGGCUAAAUACUCCUGACUGACCGAUAGUGAACCAGUACCGUGAGGGAAAGGCGAAAAGAACCCCGGCGAGGGGAGUGAAAAAGAACCUGAAACCGUGUACGUACAAGCAGUGGGAGCACAGAGCAAUCUGUGUGACUGCGUACCUUUUGUAUAAUGGGUCAGCGACUUAUAUUCUGUAGCAAGGUUAACCGAAUAGGGGAGCCGAAGGGAAACCGAGUCUUAACUGGGCGUUAAGUUGCAGGGUAUAGACCCGAAACCCGGUGAUCUAGCCAUGGGCAGGUUGAAGGUUGGGUAACACUAACUGGAGGACCGAACCGACUAAUGUUGAAAAAUUAGCGGAUGACUUGUGGCUGGGGGUGAAAGGCCAAUCAAACCGGGAGAUAGCUGGUUCUCCCCGAAAGCUAUUUAGGUAGCGCCUCGUGAAUUCAUCUCCGGGGGUAGAGCACUGUUUCGGCAAGGGGGUCAUCCCGACUUACCAACCCGAUGCAAACUGCGAAUACCGGAGAAUGUUAUCACGGGAGACACACGGCGGGUGCUAACGUCCGUCGUGAAGAGGGAAACAACCCAGACCGCCAGCUAAGGUCCCAAAGUCAUGGUUAAGUGGGAAACGAUGUGGGAAGGCCCAGACAGCCAGGAUGUUGGCUUAGAAGCAGCCAUCAUUUAAAGAAAGCGUAAUAGCUCACUGGUCGAGUCGGCCUGCGCGGAAGAUGUAACGGGGCUAAACCAUGCACCGAAGCUGCGGCAGCGACGCUUAUGCGUUGUUGGGUAGGGGAGCGUUCUGUAAGCCUGCGAAGGUGUGCUGUGAGGCAUGCUGGAGGUAUCAGAAGUGCGAAUGCUGACAUAAGUAACGAUAAAGCGGGUGAAAAGCCCGCUCGCCGGAAGACCAAGGGUUCCUGUCCAACGUUAAUCGGGGCAGGGUGAGUCGACCCCUAAGGCGAGGCCGAAAGGCGUAGUCGAUGGGAAACAGGUUAAUAUUCCUGUACUUGGUGUUACUGCGAAGGGGGGACGGAGAAGGCUAUGUUGGCCGGGCGACGGUUGUCCCGGUUUAAGCGUGUAGGCUGGUUUUCCAGGCAAAUCCGGAAAAUCAAGGCUGAGGCGUGAUGACGAGGCACUACGGUGCUGAAGCAACAAAUGCCCUGCUUCCAGGAAAAGCCUCUAAGCAUCAGGUAACAUCAAAUCGUACCCCAAACCGACACAGGUGGUCAGGUAGAGAAUACCAAGGCGCUUGAGAGAACUCGGGUGAAGGAACUAGGCAAAAUGGUGCCGUAACUUCGGGAGAAGGCACGCUGAUAUGUAGGUGAAGCGACUUGCUCGUGGAGCUGAAAUCAGUCGAAGAUACCAGCUGGCUGCAACUGUUUAUUAAAAACACAGCACUGUGCAAACACGAAAGUGGACGUAUACGGUGUGACGCCUGCCCGGUGCCGGAAGGUUAAUUGAUGGGGUCAGCGCAAGCGAAGCUCUUGAUCGAAGCCCCGGUAAACGGCGGCCGUAACUAUAACGGUCCUAAGGUAGCGAAAUUCCUUGUCGGGUAAGUUCCGACCUGCACGAAUGGCGUAAUGAUGGCCAGGCUGUCUCCACCCGAGACUCAGUGAAAUUGAACUCGCUGUGAAGAUGCAGUGUACCCGCGGCAAGACGGAAAGACCCCGUGAACCUUUACUAUAGCUUGACACUGAACAUUGAGCCUUGAUGUGUAGGAUAGGUGGGAGGCUUUGAAGUGUGGACGCCAGUCUGCAUGGAGCCGACCUUGAAAUACCACCCUUUAAUGUUUGAUGUUCUAACGUUGACCCGUGAUCCGGGUUGCGGACAGUGUCUGGUGGGUAGUUUGACUGGGGCGGUCUCCUCCUAAAGAGUAACGGAGGAGCACGAAGGUUGGCUAAUCCUGGUCGGACAUCAGGAGGUUAGUGCAAUGGCAUAAGCCAGCUUGACUGCGAGCGUGACGGCGCGAGCAGGUGCGAAAGCAGGUCAUAGUGAUCCGGUGGUUCUGAAUGGAAGGGCCAUCGCUCAACGGAUAAAAGGUACUCCGGGGAUAACAGGCUGAUACCGCCCAAGAGUUCAUAUCGACGGCGGUGUUUGGCACCUCGAUGUCGGCUCAUCACAUCCUGGGGCUGAAGUAGGUCCCAAGGGUAUGGCUGUUCGCCAUUUAAAGUGGUACGCGAGCUGGGUUUAGAACGUCGUGAGACAGUUCGGUCCCUAUCUGCCGUGGGCGCUGGAGAACUGAGGGGGGCUGCUCCUAGUACGAGAGGACCGGAGUGGACGCAUCACUGGUGUUCGGGUUGUCAUGCCAAUGGCACUGCCCGGUAGCUAAAUGCGGAAGAGAUAAGUGCUGAAAGCAUCUAAGCACGAAACUUGCCCCGAGAUGAGUUCUCCCUGACUCCUUGAGAGUCCUGAAGGAACGUUGAAGACGACGACGUUGAUAGGCCGGGUGUGUAAGCGCAGCGAUGCGUUGAGCUAACCGGUACUAAUGAACCGUGAGGCUUAACCUU